AGAGUUUGAUCCUGGCUCAGGAUGAACGCUGGCGGCGUGCCUAAUACAUGCAAGUCGAACGAGUUCUGAUUAUUGAAGGGUGCUUGCAUCUUGAUUUAAUUUUGAACGAGUGGAGGACGGGUGAGUAACACGUGGGUAACCUGCCCUUAAGUGGGGGAUAACAUUUGGAAACAGAUGCUAAUACCGCAUAAAUCCAAGAACCGCAUGGUUCUUGGCUGAAAGAUGGCGUAAGCUAUCGCUUUUGGAUGGACCCGCGGCGUAUUAGCUAGUUGGUGAGGUAACGGCUCACCAAGGCAAUGAUACGUAGCCGAACUGAGAGGUUGAUCGGCCACAUUGGGACUGAGACACGGCCCAAACUCCUACGGGAGGCAGCAGUAGGGAAUCUUCCACAAUGGACGCAAGUCUGAUGGAGCAACGCCGCGUGAGUGAAGAAGGCUUUCGGGUCGUAAAACUCUGUUGUUGGAGAAGAAUGGUCGGCAGAGUAACUGUUGUCGGCGUGACGGUAUCCAACCAGAAAGCCACGGCUAACUACGUGCCAGCAGCCGCGGUAAUACGUAGGUGGCAAGCGUUAUCCGGAUUUAUUGGGCGUAAAGCGAGCGCAGGCGGUUUUUUAAGUCUGAUGUGAAAGCCCUCGGCUUAACCGAGGAAGUGCAUCGGAAACUGGAAAACUUGAGUGCAGAAGAGGACAGUGGAACUCCAUGUGUAGCGGUGAAAUGCGUAGAUAUAUGGAAGAACACCAGUGGCGAAGGCGGCUGUCUGGUCUGUAACUGACGCUGAGGCUCGAAAGCAUGGGUAGCGAACAGGAUUAGAUACCCUGGUAGUCCAUGCCGUAAACGAUGAAUGCUAGGUGUUGGAGGGUUUCCGCCCUUCAGUGCCGCAGCUAACGCAUUAAGCAUUCCGCCUGGGGAGUACGACCGCAAGGUUGAAACUCAAAGGAAUUGACGGGGGCCCGCACAAGCGGUGGAGCAUGUGGUUUAAUUCGAAGCAACGCGAAGAACCUUACCAGGUCUUGACAUCUUUUGAUCACCUGAGAGAUCGGGUUUCCCCUUCGGGGGCAAAAUGACAGGUGGUGCAUGGUUGUCGUCAGCUCGUGUCGUGAGAUGUUGGGUUAAGUCCCGCAACGAGCGCAACCCUUAUGACUAGUUGCCAGCAUUUAGUUGGGCACUCUAGUAAGACUGCCGGUGACAAACCGGAGGAAGGUGGGGAUGACGUCAAAUCAUCAUGCCCCUUAUGACCUGGGCUACACACGUGCUACAAUGGAUGGUACAACGAGUUGCGAGACCGCGAGGUCAAGCUAAUCUCUUAAAGCCAUUCUCAGUUCGGACUGUAGGCUGCAACUCGCCUACACGAAGUCGGAAUCGCUAGUAAUCGCGGAUCAGCACGCCGCGGUGAAUACGUUCCCGGGCCUUGUACACACCGCCCGUCACACCAUGAGAGUUUGUAACACCCGAAGCCGGUGGCGUAACCCUUUUAGGGAGCGAGCCGUCUAAGGUGGGACAAAUGAUUAGGGUGAAGUCGUAACAAGGUA
rnacentral:rRNA from 2 species